CAGAUCUUGGUGGUAGUAGCAAAUACUCAAGUGAGAAUCUUGAGGACUAAGGUGGAGAAGGGUUCCAUGUGAACAGCAGUUGGACAUGGUUCAGUCGGUCCUAAGGAAGCGGAGAAAUCCGUUGAAACAGUCUGUGUUGAAAUUGCAAGAGUUUAUUUCAAUCACAAUUGAAAAAAACCGCUCAAAUCACAGGACUGAUUUUCCGAAAGGGAAUCGGGUCAAUAUUCCCGAACUGAGAUGCGGAGGAUGUGCUCUCGGGCACUAAUGCGGUAACGCUAUCAAAUUCGGAGACAUCGGCGAUAGUCCUGGGAAGAGUUAUCUUUUCUCUAUAAGGUAUCGAAUCCAUGAAAACAGCUUGUCUGGAGAUAUGGAUGUUGGUACCGAAGAGCUUAGCGGUUCUGCUGAGUCCGGUGCGCUAUUGUCGGUCCUUGAAAAUCCGAAGGCGAGGUUUACCUCUGUCCUCAGCCGUACCAAUAUCCGCAGCAGGUCUCCAAGG
rnacentral:rRNA from 1 species